rnacentral:lncRNA from 1 species
AUUCACCAAAUGUCCAAUUACAUAUCCUCUCUGCCUGGACCUUCAAAACAAUGUAAAACUGAAUGAAGGCAAUGAAAGAAGUCACAGGAGGAUUUUUUGCAGAGCUUCCAUCCAGUUCAGAAACAAAGCAAUUCAAUACAUGUCUUCAAGAUUUCUAAAGGCAAUGACUUAAUAUUAAAUGACCUGACAGAGAUCCCUCCUGAGUGCUUGGCAUCUCCUUUCCAUUUCUAUCUGUUCUACAGAAACUCCUUUGUUUUUUGACAAGAUUGGAAUGACACAGGUAGCUCAGUAGGAGUGAGAACUCAGGAAGGAACAAGAGUCAUGCCUGUUUCCCCAAUGCCUGCUGUCCAGCGUCCUUCUUCUUCUUUCUGGGAUACUCCUGACACGUACUAAGAGAACCUUGGAGAAUUGCCAAGAUUGCUGACUAGAUGUACCAGGAGAAAUAUCACGCACUGAGAGACUGGGACAUUGGAAAGACUAUAACACACCUCUGAGCAGAUCUUCUGAUGGAAGACAUUAAGAGUGGAUGCAGAGAGGAUGCAGAUGCUGGGCUGAAGAGAGAGGAAGCUGGGAACCCUGCAUAUUGUGGCUGAGCCUCAGGACUUGUACCUGACCCUCAGAGACUCCCGGGGAAAGUAAAUGAAGCCGGUUGACUGAACCCAUCAUAUGCCACAAUCAAACUCCCAGGGCAUCAAAGAAGAUAAAAGCCAAAUUCUCCAUCCAAAGGACAGUAAUAUCAAAGGUAAGAAAGAACCAGUGCAAAAACUCUGGCAACUCAAAAAGCCAGCGUGUCUUUUUACCUCCAAAUGAUCACUCCAGUUCUUCAGUGAUGGUUCUUAACUAGGCUGAAAAGACAGAAAUGACAGAUAUAGACUUCAGAAUAUGGAUAGGAAUGAAGAUGAUCAAGAUCUGGGAGAAAACUGAAACCCAAUCCUAUGAAACUAAGGAAUACAAUAAUGCAAUACAGGAGCUGAAAGAUGAAAUGGUCAUUUAAGAAAGAACCAAACUGAUGUGAUAGAGUGACAGAGCUGAAAAUCUCACUUUGAGAAUUUCACAAUACAAUUGCAAGUAUUAACAGCAGGGUAGACCAUGCUGAGGAAAGACUCUCAGAGCUUGAAGACCAGUUCUCCAAAGUAACUCGGUCCG